rnacentral:sRNA from 1 species
UGGAGACGACAGCAACCUGAAGACAUGGUUGGAUCAGGUGACAAGGAUCCCUGUGCAGGAGUCAGGAAGAUAAAGAGCUGUGCUCCAGUCAGUGGGAAGGAUAAAAGGAUUCUAAAUCCACAGCAUUUCCAUGGCCGCAUUUUAAUAUGGCUACCACCGGGUAUCCAGAAGGAAGCCCUACCACCAGGCUUAGGAAUCCAGGCUUUGAGUUGUACAGUCGGAAGACAUCUACAUGGUCUGCAUUCGCCCUACACUCUGACCUCCGGGGCUCUUCUGUGAGAGGGAAGUUGUAGGGGCUACAGUGGGACAGUAAAAAUGAGAUGGACACUUCAGAAGCACCUACUUUCCUUAGACCAACCCGGGGGCCAUUUAAAAUCCAUUUAUUGGGGAACACAAGUGUUACUCAUCAGUUGAGUCUCUUCUGUAGAAAACAAGCGAAGAAGUGAAGAGAGUGGUUAUCCAGCA